rnacentral:rRNA from 1 species
CAAUAGCGUAUAUUAAAGUUGUUGCAGUUAAAACGCUCGUAGUCGGAUUUCGGGGCGGGCCGACCGGUCUGCCGAUGGGUAUGCACUGGCCGGCGCGUCCUUCCUUCCGGAGACCGUGCCUACUCUUAACUGAGCGGGUUCGGGAGACGGAUCGUUUACUUUGAAAAAUCAGAGUGUUUCAAGCAGGCAGCUCGCUCUUGCAUGGAUUAGCAUGGGAUAAUGAAAUAGGACUUUGGUGCUAUUUUGUUGGUUUCGAACACCGAAGUAAUGAUUGAUAGGGAUAGUUGGGGGUGCUAGUAUUCAACGGCCAGAGGUGAAAUUCUUGGAUUCGUUGAAGACUAACUUAUGCGAAAGCAUUCACCAAGGAUGUCUUCUUUAAUCAAGAACGAAAGUU